rnacentral:rRNA from 1 species
UGGGGAAUAUUGGACAAUGGGCGAAAGCCUGAUCCAGCCAUGCCGCGUGUGUGAAGAAGGCCUUUUGGUUGUAAAGCACUUUAAGCGAGGAGGAGGCUACUUGGAUUAAUGCUCUAGGAUAGUGGACGUUACUCGCAGAAUAAGCACCGGCUAACUCUGUGCCAGCAGCCGCGGUAAUACAGAGGGUGCGAGCGUUAAUCGGAUUUACUGGGCGUAAAGCGUGCGUAGGCGGCUUCUUAAGUCGGAUGUGAAAUCCCUGAGCUUAACUUAGGAAUUGCAUUCGAUACUGGGAAGCUAGAGUAUGGGAGAGGAUGGUAGAAUUCCAGGUGUAGCGGUGAAAUGCGUAGAGAUCUGGAGGAAUACCGAUGGCGAAGGCAGCCAUCUGGCCUAAUACUGACGCUGAGGUACGAAAGCAUGGGGAGCAAACAGG